rnacentral:tRNA from 1 species
GUCCCAUUGGCCUAGUGGAUAAGGUGUUGGACUUCUAAUCCAAAGAUCGCGGGUUCGAUCCCCGCAUGGGAUG